rnacentral:lncRNA from 1 species
CCUCUGGUUGUAGCAGUCCAAGUUGGCGCCGUAGCUGACGCCCAACAUGUCGCAGUAGCGCUUGUAGAACCCAAUCCGGUCGGCGACUCUGCUGUCCGCGCCGUGGCCGCACUCCACGCCGCCGUUGAUGAUGUUGGUCACCACGCCGUAGCCCGGCACGCGCCCCGCCGCCUGGUCGUUGCCGUUGGGCGUCCACUGCCCUGUCAUCACCGCGUGGCACGACGGCUUGGGCGACUGCGGCGUCAUCCAGAACCAGAACGCCGUCUUGAAGGAGACGGUGGCGUCCGACGCCACCAGGUCCGGGUUGCUCAGCAGGUUGGAGCCGAUGGCCUGCCCCGCCGGGCCGUAGUUGUAGUUGUAGGUGAUCUGGAUGGGUCCCCGGCCGUAGUACUUCUUGCCGGCGGCGCACGGCCACUCCGGCUUGGGCUCGCAGUAUGUGGGGGCGUUGCCGUUGUUCUCCUCCUUGAAGCAGUAGCCCCAGGAGUAGGGGCCGUCGGGCGCCGUGGGCCAGCCGCCGGUGGUCUCGUGGGACGUCUGCGCCAGGAAGGCGGCGACCUCGCGCUUGCAGGUGUCGGCGUCGCCGGUGGUGGCGAAGUCCGGGUAGGCGUUGGCGGCGGCGACGAAGGCGUCGUAGGUGUAGAAGCCCUUAGCGGCGCACGCCUGGUCGUUGCGGUGGAGCAGCAUCUGGUCGAAGAGCGAGGGCGAUAUGAUGGAGGCGACGCCGCUGCCGCCACCGCUGGAGGGCGGGGUCGGGCCGCCGCCGCAGCCGCCGGAGCACUGGCUCUGGCAGCCGGCGCCGCAGUAAUCGGAGGUGGAGCCGCACCAGCCGUACUGGCUGCAGCAGAGGCAGUUGGGGCAGAGCGCGCCGCCGGCCUGGCUGCCGCACUGCUCGCCGCGCACGGCCACCACCGCCAUGGCCACCACCGCGAGAGCGAGAGCUCUCAUGGCGGCCGGCAAUGUGAUGCAAUGCAAAUUAAGCUAGUUUGUUUGGUAUGA